rnacentral:rRNA from 1 species
ACCUAUUCUCAAACUUUAAAUGGGUGAGAAGUCCGCCUUGCGUGACGGAAGCCGGACGAAUCGGAUGUGAGUGCCCAGUGGGCCACUUUUGGUAAGCAGAACUGGCGCUGUGGGAUGAACCAAACGCCGGGUUAAGGCGUCCGAUGCGAGACGCUCAUGAGACCCCAUGAAAGGUGUUGGUUGCUCUAGACAGCCGGAGGAUGGCCAUGGAAGUUGGAAUUCCCUAAGGAGUGUGUAACAACUCACCGGCCGAAGCAACUAGCCCUGAAAAUGGAUGACGCUCCAGCGUCGAGCCUAUACCCGGCCGCUACGGCAGAGCCUCUUCUUGGUGGAGGAUUAGGUCGUAGUGAGUAGGAGGGUCGCAGCGGCGUGCGUUGAAGGUGCCGGGCGUGAGCCCGCCUGGAGCCGCCGCUGGUGCAGAUCUUGGUGGUAGUAGCAAAUACUCAAGUGAGAACCUUGAGGACUGAAGACGGAGAAGGGUUCCAUGUGAACAGCAGUUGAACAUGGGUCAGUCGUCCCUAAGGCAUCGGAGAAAUCCGUUCUGAAGCGGGACGUUUCGCUGUGACAUGCGAGAUUGUGAUCAGUCCCGCUCUUGCCGAAAGGGCAUGGGGUUAAUAUUCCCCAACCCGGACACGGAGAUUGAGCCUUCGGGCUCGAGUGCGGUAACGCAACCGAACUCGGAGAAGUCGACGGAGGACCCGGGGAAGAGUUGUCUUUUCUUUGUAAGGGUUCGUGUCCCUGGAAUCGGAUCAUCCGGAGAUAGGGACGCCGUUCCCGUAAAAGCACCGCGGCUCUUGCGGUGUCCGGUCCGCCUUUGUCGACCCUUGCAAAUCCGAGGGAGAGAGUGUGAUUUUCGUGCCGGACCGUACCCAUAUACGCAGC